UUAUCGGUAAGGUUAACCGCCAUGUUAAGACACAGUAUUUUAACCACUGCGUGCCAAUUUCUACAGAAAAACUCACAACAAACAAGGGCUUCUAAUCAUUAGGGUUGCAUGCUAGCACCCCAUAUAGCUAGUGUGCUUCUGGAACUCCGGUCAGGAUAUGGAUGUAAAUUUUAUCCUAACCAUGAACCCUCAGCAGCUGUCACAGUUCCUUCUCAGCAAGGAUAUUUCUCAACAAGGACGAAGAUCCAUUGAAGAAUCUCAGUGUCGCAUGGCUAUGUUUUAUGCCAACUGCCCAAGAAGGCAGAUAUUAAAGAUUCUAUUCAGUAUAUUCCUUGACCGCUUUAGCAUCGAACCAUCAAGCGUCACGAAUAUUUUCUAGUGAAGCAGAAGACGGUCGAAACAACAAUUGUCGCCUGAUG